GGGGGUGUAGCUCAUCUGGUAGAGCGCGUGCUUAGCAUUUCACUUGGUGAGCAAUCAUCAGCGUACAUGUUCCUGCACGAGGUACUGGGUUCGACUCCCAGCUCCUCCA